AUCCAGCUGACGAGUCCCAAAUAGGACGAAACGCGCGUCAAACCGGAU
rfam:Schistosoma rodhaini strain Burundi genome assembly, scaffold: SROB_scaffold0003344